UCCGGGAAACAGAUCAGUCUUUCCGGUUAACGACACAUCCCAAGAUGGCGGUGCAAAUUUCCAAGAAGAGAAAGUUUGUCGCUGAUGGUAUCUUCAAAGCUGAACUGAACGAGUUCCUCACAAGAGAGCUGGCUGAGGAUGGCUACUCAGGUGUGGAGGUUCGUGUCACCCCAACUAGAACUGAAAUCAUCAUCUUGGCUACCAGGACACAGAACGUGCUUGGUGAGAAGGGGCGUCGUAUACGUGAGCUGACUGCAGUGGUCCAGAAGAGGUUUGGCUUCCCCGAGGGCAGUGUGGAGCUGUAUGCUGAGAAGGUUGCCACUCGUGGUCUUUGUGCCAUUGCCCAGGCAGAGUCUCUGCGCUACAAGCUUCUCGGGGGUCUCGCUGUCCGCAGGGCCUGCUAUGGUGUCCUACGGUUCAUCAUGGAGAGCGGGUCCAAGGGUUGCGAGGUGGUGGUCUCUGGAAAACUCAGGGGCCAGAGGGCCAAGUCCAUGAAGUUCGUGGAUGGCCUCAUGAUCCACAGUGGAGACCCCGUUAACUACUACGUCGACACCGCUGUCCGCCACGUGCUCCUCCGCCAAGGUGUGCUGGGGAUUAAGGUGAAAAUCAUGCUGCCCUGGGAUCCCAGCGGUAAGAUUGGCCCCAAGAAACCUCUCCCUGACCACGUGAGCAUCGUGGAGCCCAAGGACGAGCAGGUCCCCUCAACGCCCAUCUCUGAGCAGAAGGGAGCCAAGCCGGAGGCCGCUGUCGUCGCACCUGCCACACCCGUCCCAACAGCAUAACCAUGAGGGACCCCACGCCAGCGUCUCACAUUUUCAAUAGUAGUAUGUUCUUUUGACCCUCUCCUGCUGCUACGCUCCUGAAGUUCCUGGUAAUGGGCUACACCAGGCGUCAGCAAACCUUUCCAUCUGGAGUGCCAAUUUAUCUUACAAUUCCUAACUGGCACGGCACGCAGGUCAGUAGAAAUAAUAUCUUUGGAUCUGUCAUUGUCAUGUGGUUACUAUAAAUUCAAUCAAAAUGAUCUAAAUCUUAAAGUAACUAUUGUUAUUGCCAGCUAUAAAAAUAGCCUACAUAAAGCUGAAAUAUAAACACUGCAGCCUGCAGGGAUAAAAAAAAAAAACCUGAUUUUCAAAAUAAUCUAAGAAAUCACAUUGGCUGCACGUGGCUGUCUGCAACGAACUUGAGAAACGGUAUCAACUGUGUCUGUCCCUAAGCUGGCGCUAGCCAGUUUACUUUGUGUAAAAUAUUCUGGAUUAUUAUUGAUUAUUGUUUCCUGCGCCAGUGAGCUCGGGACAGACGGCUGUAGGCUUUAUGUGCGAGGGAUAAGAGAUUAUCGACCAGACAAUAGCCCUCAUCCAUAUGUCUAUGAAUUUGGGGGUGAUUGCAUUUCUCCUGCCCAUCCCUCAGCUGUCUACUGAAACAAUGGUCAUCGUGAGUGGAGGAAAUUCCCCAAAUACCUUUUUGUUUUUCAAGAAACAAAUAAAAUAUUUAAAUGUC